rnacentral:rRNA from 1 species
UCCUACGGGGGGCAGCAGUGGGGAAUUUUCCGCAAUGGGCGAAAGCCUGACGGAGCAAUGCCGCGUGAAUGAAGAAGGUCUUCGGAUCGUAAAGUUCUGUCAUUAGGGAAGAACAGCAAGUAUGUAAAUAAUGUACUUGCCUGACGGUACCUAAGGAGGAAGCCACGGCUAACUACGUGCCAGCAGCCGCGGUAAUACGUAGGUGGCGAGCGUUGUCCGGAAUUACUGGGCGUAAAGGGCGUGUAGGCGGGAAUUUAAGUCAGAUGUGAAAACCCCGGGCUUAACUUGGGGACUGCAUUUGAUACUGGAUUUCUUGAGGACAGGAGAGGAAAGCGGAAUUCCUAGUGUAGCGGUGAAAUGCGUAGAUAUUAGGAGGAACACCAGUGGCGAAGGCGGCUUUCUGGACUGUAACUGACGCUGAGGCGCGAAAGCGUGGGGAGCGAACGGGAUUAGAUACCCGAGUAGUCGG